AGAGUUUGAUCCUGGCUCAGAAUCAACGCUGGCGGCGUGCCUAACACAUGCAAGUCGAGCGAGAAAGGGUAGCAAUACCUGAGUAAAGCGGCGCACGGGUGAGUAACACGUGGAUAACCUGCCUCGAGGUGGGGGAUAACACCGGGAAACCGGUGCUAAUACCGCAUACCCUGACGAGAUCUGCGGAUUUUGUCAGUAAAGGAGCAAUUCGCUUUGAGAGGGGUCCGCGGCUGAUUAGCUAGUUGGCGAGGUAACGGCUCACCAAGGCAUCGAUCAGUAGCCGGUCUGAGAGGACGGUCGGCCACACUGGAACUGAGACACGGUCCAGACUCCUACGGGAGGCAGCAGUGGGGAAUUUUUGGCAAUGGGGGAAACCCUGACCAAGCAACGCCGCGUGGAUGAUGAAGUAUCUUGGUACGUAAAAUCCUUUCGACGGGGACGAAGCCGCAAGGUUGACGGUACCCGUAGAAGAAGCCCCGGCUAACUCCGUGCCAGCAGCCGCGGUAAU
rnacentral:rRNA from 1 species